CCUACGGGGGCAGCAGUGGGGAAUAUUGGACAAUGGGCGAAAGCCUGAUCCAGCCAUGCCGCGUGUGUGAAGAAGGCCUUCGGGUUGUAAAGCACUUUCAGUGGGGAAGAAAGCCUUGGGGCUAAUACCCUCGAGGAAGGACAUCACCCACAGAAGAAGCACCGGCUAACUCCGUGCCAGCAGCCGCGGUAAUACGGAGGGUGCGAGCGUUAAUCGGAAUUACUGGGCGUAAAGCGCGCGUAGGCGGUCUGAUAAGCCGGUUGUGAAAGCCCCGGGCUCAACCUGGGAACGGCAUCCGGAACUGUCAGGCUAGAGGGCAGGAGAGGAAGGUAGAAUUCCCGGUGUAGCGGUGAAGUGCGUAGAGAUCGGGAGGAAUACCAGUGGCGAAGGCGGCCUUCUGGAUUGACACUGACGCUGAGGUGCGAAAGCGUGGGUAGCAAACAGGAUUAGAUACCCUGGUAGUC
rnacentral:rRNA from 1 species